GGGACUGUAGCUCAGUGAUAGAGCACCUACCUAGCAUGUGUGAGGCACUGAGUUCAAUCCUCAGUACCUCA
rnacentral:tRNA from 1 species